rnacentral:sRNA from 1 species
GCUGGGUGCAGUGGUGAACGCCUGUAAUCCCAGUGGCUCAGGAGGCUGAGGCAGGAGGAUCACGAGUUCAAAGCCAGCCUCAGCAAAGGCGAGGCACCAAGCAACUCAGGGAGACCCUGUAUCUA